CAUACUGCUCCAGAAGGCUCUGCAUCCCGUGGACGGCCUGGGGAAACUGGGUCACAUCUGGGUUGAUUCAGGGUCCAGUAUUUCCUAGGCCGGUGUGACUAGCAAGACAGAGGUAGGUGCCGAGCACCUGAGUUCAGGGAGGGAGUACAGGAGACGAUAGGAGGGAAGGGUGGGGUUCAGUUAGGAUGACAGAGGGCGGGUGUUCUGACAGAAUCCAGACGGUGGCUCGGCAUGUGCAGGCUAACGGCCUGGAAGUGAAGGAGAGAGGAUCAAACGCACAAAGAGGAGAACUCCAGUAAUGGCCCCUAAGGAACAGCUGUUCCCAGAAGCCACGCCCAUGCAGGGCACGUGAUUUGUUUUGUCCAAUGGGGAUCACUAGCUGCCGCGUGAGGGAUUGUGGGACAGCCUACCGAGAGAGGCGAGAAUGGCCCGCGGUUUUAGCGGAGUUCAGUCGUGUGAGCCAGGCCAUCCUAAGCCAUCUGGCUUCACCUGAUCUGGCCCAGUCCAGAACUGCCCAGCUGAGCACGGACUCAUGGGCCAUCGGAGCUCGGCUCACAUGAAAUUCAAGUGAUACAGAAGGGUAUGAAUUAAAAUGCGGACGGUCCGUCUCAUCCAUCCACCCCCAUUUUCCUCAGAGAGAUAGAGACAGCCAGCGAGACAGGGAACACAAGCAGGGGG